rnacentral:rRNA from 1 species
AAUGAACGCUGGCGGCAUGCCUAGCACAUGCAAGUCGAACGAAGGCUUCGGCCUUAGUGGCGCACGGGUGCGUAACGCGUGGGAAUCUGCCCUCAGGUUCGGAAUAACAGCGAGAAAUUGCUGCUAAUACCGGAUGAUAUCGCGAGAUCAAAGAUUUAUCGCCUGAGGAUGAGCCCGCGUAGGAUUAGCUAGUUGGUGUGGUAAAGGCGCACCAAGGCGACGAUCCUUAGCUGGUCUGAGAGGAUGACCAGCCACACUGGGACUGAGACACGGCCCAGACUCCUACGGGAGGCAGCAGUGGGGAAUAUUGGACAAUGGGCGAAAGCCUGAUCCAGCAAUGCCGCGUGAGUGAUGAAGGCCUUAGGGUUGUAAAGCUCUUUUACCCGGGAUGAUAAUGACAGUACCGGGAGAAUAAGCUCCGGCUAACUCCGUGCCAGCCGCCGCGGUAA